UCAUCUUCGGGGGUAGAGCACUGUUUCGGCUAGGGGGUCAUCCCGACUUACCAACCCGAUGCAAACUACGAAUACCGAAGAAUGUUAUCACGGGAGACACACGGCGGGUGCUAACGUCCGUCGUGAAGAGGGAAACAACCCAGACCGCCAGCUAAGGUCCCAAAGUCAUGGUUAAGUGGGAAACGAUGUGGGAAGGCACAGACAGCCAGGAUGUUGGCUUAGAAGCAGCCAUCAUUUAAAGAAAGCGUAAUAGCUCACUGGUCGAGUCGGCCUGCGCGGAAGAUGUAACGGGGCUAAACCAUGCACCGAAGCUGCGGCAGCGACACUAUGUGUUGUUGGGUAGGGGAGCGUUCUGUAAGCCUGCGAAGGUGACCUGUGAGGGUUGCUGGAGGUAUCAGAAGUGCGAAUGCUGACAUAAGUAACGAUAAAGCGGGUGAAAAGCCCGCUCGCCGGAAGACCAAGGGUUCCUGUCCAACGUUAAUCGGGGCAGGGUGAGUCGACCCCUAAGGCGAGGCCGAAAGGCGUAGUCGAUGGGAAACAGGUUAAUAUUCCUGUACUUGGUGUUACUGCGAAGGGGGGACGGAGAAGGCUAUGUUAGCCGGGCGACGGUUGUCCCGGUU
rnacentral:rRNA from 1 species